ACUUGACUAGCUGAGAGAGGUGCAUGGCCGUCGUCAGUUCGUACUGUGAAGCAUCCUGUUAAGUCAGGCAACGAGCGAGACCCACGCCAACAGUUGCCAGCUCGUCCUCCGGGAUGGUGGGGACACUGUUGGGACCGCCUCUGCUAAAGAGGAGGAAGGAAUGGGCAACGGUAGGUCAGCAUGCCCCGAAUUAUCUGGGCUACACGCGGGCUACAAUGGGUGGGACAAUGGGUAUCGACACCGAAAGGUGAAGGCAAUCUCCUAAACCCAUCCGUAGUUCGGAUUGUGGGCUGCAACUCGCCCACAUGAAGCUGGAAUCUGUAGUAAUCGUGUCUCAAAAUGGCACGGUGAAUAUGUCCCUGCUCCUU
rnacentral:rRNA from 1 species